rnacentral:rRNA from 1 species
GACGAACGCUGGCGGCGUGCCUAAUACAUGCAAGUCGGACGAGGAUGUUUCUACAUCCUAGUGGCGAACGGGUGAGUAACACGUAGGGAACCUGCCCCUAAGACGAGGAUAACUACUGGAAACGGUAGCUAAUACUGGAUAGGAUAAGUUGACGCAUGUUGGCUUAUUUAAAGGUGCCUAUAAAGCACCGCUUAGGGAUGGCCCUGCGGCGCAUUAGCUAGUUGGUGGGGUAACGGCCUACCAAGGCGACGAUGCGUAGCUGUGCUGAGAGGCAGAACAGCCACACUGGGACUGAGACACGGCCCAGACUCCUACGGGAGGCAGCAGUAGGGAAUUUUCGGCAAUGGGGGGAACCCUGACCGAGCGAUGCCGCGUGAGUGAUGAAGGUCUUCGGACUGUAAAACUCUGUUAUUAGGGAAGAAUACUAUAGGGAGGAAAUGCCUUAUAGAUGACGGUACCUAAUGAGGAAGCCCCGGCAACUAUGUGCCAGCAGCCGCGGUAA